rnacentral:rRNA from 1 species
AUGUCGCAAGCCUCUGCUCCAGCGCUCGUGUCCCUCUCCAACGUCCAGAUCGCCGAGAAGCUCACCCGGGACAACUUCCUACCAUGGAAGGCCCAGGUGCUGCCGCCGGUGAGGGGUGCCCUGCUCAUGGGCUACCUCGACGGGUCACAAGCAGCGCCACCAAAGGAGAUCGAAGAGGCGAGGGCGGACAAGACUGUCGUUCAGGUGCAGAAUCCGGCGUAUGUCGCCUGGAUGGCUCAGGACCAAAACGUCCUGGGCUUUCUUCUCGGUUCUCUCUCCCGAGAGGUACUUCUCCAGGUAAUGGAUAACACCACCGCAAGCAGCUUGUGGGCGGCGCUCCUGGCCAUGUUUGCCUCGCAGAGCCGCGCCAAGGUGAUGCAGCUGCGGACGUAG